rnacentral:tRNA from 1 species
UGUUGGUGUAGCCCAAUUUGGCAAGAGGCGUGCGCCUCAGAAGCGCAAGGUUGUGAGUUCGAGUCUCACCACCAACAU